AUUGAACGCUGGCGGCAGGCCUAACACAUGCAAGUCGAGCGGAUGAAGGGAGCUUGCUCCUGGAUUCAGCGGCGGACGGGUGAGUAAUGCCUAGGAAUCUGCCUGGUAGUGGGGGAUAACGUCCGGAAACGGGCGCUAAUACCGCAUACGUCCUGAGGGAGAAAGUGGGGGAUCUUCGGACCUCACGCUAUCAGAUGAGCCUAGGUCGGAUUAGCUAGUUGGUGGGGUAAAGGCCUACCAAGGUGACGAUCCGUAACUGGUCUGAGAGGAUGAUCAGUCACACUGGAACUGAGACACGGUCCAGACUCCUACGGGAGGCAGCAGUGGGGAGUAUUGGACAAUGGGCGAAAGCCUGAUCCAGCCAUGCCGCGUGUGUGAAGAAGGUCUUCGGAUUGUAAAGCACUUUAAGUUGGGAGGAAGGGCAGUAAGUUAAUACCUUGCUGUUUUGACGUUACCAACAGAAUAAGCACCGGCUAACUUCGUG
rnacentral:rRNA from 1 species